ACAUCCGAGACCUUCAUCUGAGACGCAUCACCUUACAGACUGCUAUCAGAGACAGCCCGCUGAUCCAGCAGCCCACUGACGGACCAACCUGUUGACCAAUCACAUAUCAGACAGACCUCCUCUGGAGUCUCAACCCAUCUAUCUUCAGUGAAAAAGCAUGGCUCAAAAACUUGCUCUGGUCAUUGUGAUUUUUCUGGUGGUUGGUCAGUUUGUUGGGCAAACAUCUGCAGAUAAUGAAGGCCCAGCAGGUGAG